GAUGAAGAACGUAGCGAAAUGCGAUAAGUAAUGUGAAUUGCAGAAUUCAGUGAAUCAUCGAAUCUUUGAACGCACAUUGCGCCCGCCAGUAUUCUGGCGGGCAUGCCUGUUCGAGCGUCAUUUCAACCAUCAAGCCCCCGGCUUGUGUUGGGGACCUGCGGCUGCCGCAGGCCCAGAAAAGCAGUGGCGGGCUCGCUGUCACACCGAGCGUAGUAGCAUACAUCUCGCUCUGGGCGUGCUGCGGGUUCCGGCCGUUAAACCACCUUCAUAACCCAAGGUUGACCUCGGAUCAGGUAGGAAGACCCGCUGAACUUAAGCAUAUCAAUAAGCGGAGGA
rnacentral:misc_RNA from 1 species